CAAGGAAUUCGCCGUAGCUGGUGAAAUUACAUUAAUGCAUGUAAAUACCCAUAUUAACCCAUCCAAGGUGCCCUUGCUUCUGGAUAUGCCCUGGGCCCAAAGCGAAUCUUCCCAGAGGUAAAACCACUGUGUAAUUACUGUUAUUUCAUGUGUGUGUGUUCGUGCAUUCACUCAUUCAUAAGUUUUUGCCUUCUCUCAUUCAUUCAGCAAGUUAUUGAGCACCUAAUGCAUGCCCAGCACCACACCAGGCUCUGGUGAUACAAGAUGAUGAGCAAAACCAGACCAGUGCCAGUCUUUCUGGACCCCUCAUUCUUACCAGGGAGACAGCAACCACAUCACACAAUGAAAGAGCAAAUGCUGAAUGGUCCUGCUGGGGUCACAGGCUCACCCCUGAACCAACUGCUAUGAACCCCAGAAGAAGGGAGAUUGGAAUAAAUCUGUAAAAAUCAGUCACUGCUACAGUCCACUCGGGAAAUUAGCCAACAUCACCAGGAGCGAAGACAGUGCCGAUGAGGGGGUAAGGUCAGGGAAUAUCCACUGGGGUUCAAGGGAGGGAAAAUCAUGCUCAACUAGGGUAGGAAAGGCUUCACAGCAGAGGUGGGAUUGGAGCUGGGUGUUGCAAGACUAAGAGUUUAAAAAUGGAUACAGAAGAAAAUA
rnacentral:lncRNA from 1 species